AAGUCGAGCGAACGGACGAGAAGCUUGCUUCUCUGAUGUUAGCGGCGGACGGGUGAGUAACACGUGGAUAACCUACCUAUAAGACUGGGAUAACUUCGGGAAACCGGAGCUAAUACCGGAUAAUAUUUUGAACCGCAUGGUUCAAAAGUGAAAGACGGUCUUGCUGUCACUUAUAGAUGGAUCCGCGCUGCAUUAGCUAGUUGGUAAGGUAACGGCUUACCAAGGCAACGAUGCAUAGCCGACCUGAGAGGGUGAUCGGCCACACUGGAACUGAGACACGGUCCAGACUCCUACGGGAGGCAGCAGUAGGGAAUCUUCCGCAAUGGGCGAAAGCCUGACGGAGCAACGCCGCGUGAGUGAUGAAGGUCUUCGGAUCGUAAAACUCUGUUAUUAGGGAAGAACAUAUGUGUAAGUAACUGUGCACAUCUUGACGGUACCUAAUCAGAAAGCCACGGCUAACUACGUGCCAGCAGCCGCGGUAAUACGUAGGUGGCAAGCGUUAUCCGGAAUUAUUGGGCGUAAAGCGCGCGUAGGCGGUUUUUUAAGUCUGAUGUGAAAGCCCACGGCUCAACCGUGGAGGGUCAUUGGAAACUGGAAAACUUGAGUGCAGAAGAGGAAAGUGGAAUUCCAUGUGUAGCGGUGAAAUGCGCAGAGAUAUGGAGGAACACCAGUGGCGAAGGCGACUUUCUGGUCUGUAACUGACGCUGAUGUGCGAAAGCGUGGGGAUCAAACAGGAUUAGAUACCCUGGUAGUCCACGCCGUAAACGAUGAGUGCUAAGUGUUAGGGGGUUUCCGCCCCUUAGUGCUGCAGCUAACGCAUUAAGCACUCCGCCUGGGGAGUACGACCGCAAGGUUGAAACUCAAAGGAAUUGACGGGGACCCGCACAAGCGGUGGAGCAUGUGGUUUAAUUCGAAGCAACGCGAAGAACCUUACCAAAUCUUGACAUCCUUUGACAACUCUAGAGAUAGAGCUUUCCCCUUCGGGGGACAAAGUGACAGGUGGUGCAUGGUUGUCGUCAGCUCGUGUCGUGAGAUGUUGGGUUAAGUCCCGCAACGAGCGCAACCCUUAAGCUUAGUUGCCAUCAUUAAGUUGGGCACUCUAAGUUGACUGCCGGUGACAAACCGGAGGAAGGUGGGGAUGACGUCAAAUCAUCAUGCCCCUUAUGAUUUGGGCUACACACGUGCUACAAUGGACAAUACAAAGGGCAGCGAAACCGCGAGGUCAAGCAAAUCCCAUAAAGUUGUUCUCAGUUCGGAUUGUAGUCUGCAACUCGACUACAUGAAGCUGGAAUCGCUAGUAAUCGUAGAUCAGCAUGCUACGGUGAAUACGUUCCCGGGUCUUGUACACACCGCCCGUCACACCACGAGAGUUUGUAACACCCGAAGCCGGUGGAGUAACCUUUUAGGAGCUAGCCGUCGAAGGUGGGACAAAUGAUUGGGGUGAAGUCGUAACAAGGUAGCCGUAUCGGAAGGUGCGGCUGGAUCACCUCCUUU
rnacentral:rRNA from 1 species